rnacentral:rRNA from 1 species
GGCGGACGGGUUAGUAACGCGUGGGAACGUGCCCUUUGCUCUGGAAUAUGCCCUGGGAAACUGGGGGUAAUACCGGAUGUGCCCUGAGGGGGAAAGAUUUAUCGGCAAGGGAUCGGCCCGCGUCUGAUUAGGUAGUUGGUGAGGUAACGGCUCACCAAGCCGACGAUCGGUAGCUGGUUUGAGAGGAUGAUCAGCAACACUGGGACUGAGACACGGCCCAGACUCAUACGGGAGGCAGCAGUGGGGAAUCUUAGACAAUGGGCGCAAGCCUGAUCUAGCCAUGCCGCGUGGGUGAUCGAAGGCCUUAGGGUCGUAAAAGCCCUUUCGCCGGGGAAGAUAAUGACGGUACCCGGUAAAGAAACCCCGGCUAACUCCGUGCCAGCCGCCGCGG